rnacentral:rRNA from 1 species
GUACACUCCUGCGGGAGGCAGCAGUGGGGAAUAUUGGACAAUGGGCGCAAGCCUGAUCCAGCCAUGCCGCGUGAGUGAUGAAGGCCCUAGGGUUGUAAAGCUCUUUCACCGGUGAAGAUAAUGACGGUAACCGGAGAAGAAGCCCCGGCUAACUUCGUGCCAGCAGCCGCGGUAAUACGAAGGGGGCUAGCGUUGUUCGGAUUUACUGGGCGUAAAGCGCACGUAGGCGGACUAUUAAGUCAGGGGUGAAAUCCCGGGGCUCAACCCCGGAACUGCCUUUGAUACUGGUAGUCUUGAGUUCGAGAGAGGUGAGUGGAAUUCCGAGUGUAGAGGUGAAAUUCGUAGAUAUUCGGAGGAACACCAGUGGCGAAGGCGGCUCACUGGCUCGAUACUGACGCUGAGGUGCGAAAGCGUGGGGAGCAAACAGGAUUAGAUACCCCGGUAGUCCCAUG